rnacentral:lncRNA from 1 species
AGGAUCCCCUGUUAUUAUUCGGGGAGGGGAUGAAGAUUCUCUGAAGUAAUUCUGACGGAAACGGAGAGGAGACGGGGACAUACGCAAAAUAUUGAGGAUGAGUACGAAGAGAUUGGUCCCCUCCCCUCUCCUCCCCAUUGCCAUCCCUAUCUCAUCCUAAAAAUUCAAUCUUGAUAAAUAAUUAACCCUUUAUCUUUUAAAAAAAUGGACAAUCAAAGUGAUUCUCGGUAAAUUAAUUUUUAUUUAAAGAUUCGAGCAUUACUUUCCUCAUAAUGAUUAAACCAAAUUAAGUGGCUUGGGUAGACUUUUUAUACGUUAGCUUUGAGCCUCACGAACCAUCGGCUUAGGUACAGGCUUUUUUUUGGUUGAUUCCCAGUCAAGAACAAUCUUAUAUGCUCUGUUUGUGUGAAAGUGUGUACCAUGUCAUUUUUAUUGAUGUAAAUGGAAGGAUUUAGGCAGUCUAAUUAUUGGUACACCUAGCGAUAUGAUAUAAAACUAUGUAUGCCGAUAGAAUAAAUGUAACGAAUAGACUGCACUUUAACUAUUCAAUAAAAAGUAUCCACUUAUUAAGUUCAGUUUUUAAUCAUUUUUUUUUAAUUAUAAAGAGAUUGUCAAAUUAAUAUAUAUCUUUUAC